GUACUCUCAAGCUAUGCUUGGUGUUGGGUGUUUGUCUUUGCGCAGCCUAGACUCGCCUUAAAUAUAUUGGCAGCCGGUAUACUGGUUUGAAGCGCAGCACAAUUGCCUUUUAAGCCUGUAUUAUUAGCACCCAUACAGAUUAUCAACAC
rnacentral:misc_RNA from 1 species